GCCAACGCAGACGCUAAUGACUCCCUCAUUUUAGACCUCACAGUCUCAUUUACAUCAUGCAUCGGUUUCACUGACCCUCGAGGUGGGAUCUGCUGUUUCUUGUUCACAGCAUGGCUCACAGGUUUCUGGAGAGCAGAGUUCAUAACCGACACGUUAUUGCCAUGCACGAACGAAUUCAGAUGGUUCCCAGGUUUCUGGGGAGCAGAGUCCAUCAUCGUCACGUUCUUGCCGUGCAUGAGCGAAUUAAGGGUCUUUUGAGAAAGCGCAUUGGUGGGAAUAUGCAGAAUCCCAUUGCUUGCUGAGGUCAAUGGCUG
rnacentral:lncRNA from 1 species